UACGAAGGGCGCGGGCGUUAUUCGUGUUGAUUGGGGGUAAAGGGUGCGUAGGUUAGGUUGUAAACUUUUCGGCGAAAGUGCGGAGCAUUCCUACGCAGUAGCCGACAUGUAGCACAGCUAGAGUUGGACGUGAGUUGUGGCAAUUCUUCAUGCAGGGGUAAGGUCCACAGAGAUGAGGAGGAACACUAGAAGCGAAGGCGCAUUUCCAUCGCCAACUGACACUGAGGCACGGAAGUCUGGGUAUCAAACAGG
rnacentral:rRNA from 1 species